rnacentral:tRNA from 53 species
GGGGGUAUAGCUCAGUUGGUAGAGCGCUUGCAUGGCAUGCAAGAGGUCAGCGGUUCGAUUCCGCUUACCUCCACCA